AUUGAACGCUGGCGGCAGGCCUAACACAUGCAAGUCGAACGAGCGGCGGACGGGUGAGUCAUGUCUGGGAAACUGCCCGAUGGAGGGGGAUAACUACUGGAAACGGUAGCUAAUACCGCAUACCAUCGGAUGUGCCCAGAUGGGAUUAGCUAGUAGGUGGGGUAACGGCUCACCUAGGCGACGAUCCCUAGCUGGUCUGAGCGGAUGACCAGCGACACGGGAACUGAGACACGGAGCAGGGGCGUACGGGGGGCAGUGGGGGGAAGUAUUACACAAUCAGCGCAAGCCUGUGACGGCGAUGCCGGGUGUAUAAAGAAGGCCUAGGGGUUGUGAACCGCUUUCAGCCAUGACGCGUUAGUGGCAGAAGAAGCACCGGCUAACUACGUGCCAGCAGCCGCGGUAAUUC
rnacentral:rRNA from 1 species